UUUUUACUAUUAUUUAUAAAUAUUAUAAACUGGAAUCUAACAGUAGGAUGUUAAAGCCGAUUCUUCAGAAUUUAUUAUAUUUUCGAAAUGAAACGCAUGAAGUGAUAUAAUUGAUGGAUAAUUCUGAUUUGUUUGAAGAGGCCUGAUGAAAUCUAGGAUUUUGUAAAAGCUCAGUUGUAAUCGUACCAAUGAUGAAGACUAUAGAAAACUCAUUUUAGAAUUCAUGACUAGGCAUAUGAAUGAACAACUAAAUGAAAGUUACAGUUUUUCAUUACUCAAAUAGGCGAAGGAAAAUAGUAUGCGAUACGACUUAAGAAACAUUAUGUAAGAUUUUUCGACUUGCGAGGCGGAUUACGUAUGCAAAAACCGGAGAAGUGAUAUUUAUAGAUCUUUGGGUGUUUUUAAAUUUUGGUAUAAUUUUAUAAGUAUAUUUUUUUAAUAACUCAAUAAUACUUCAGUCUAAUAAUACUAAUGCAUUUCAAGCCUGCUUAGCGAAGGAGCAGGUUCUACACCCGUCUGUGCUCUAAUGGAUUCACAACAACAAUAUAAGUAGAAACUGGCAUGCCUUAUACCCAAAGUGUACCUACGCCGUGUGUCAGGUGCAGAAGGCUGAUUACCUACUUGCUUAUUGGAAAAUAAAAUAAUCACCAGACAUAAAUCGGAGGCCAAGACCAAGUCGCCAUUUGUAGCCAAUUACUUAUUUUGAUAACAAUUGUCAAAUUGAACUAACUAUAUGUUUCUUUACGUCCCGUUGUUAAACACAAUUUAACAGAAAAGUACGAUUGUUUGAGCUACUGGUCAUACGAUUUCUAUCGCGCGGCGUACAGACGACGAGAAACGACUAAUUGCGACUUGUUUUGCACCACAUAGAUUCUUGACGUCCGUCGUUUCACGUUUCCUUUUUAAGGCAGUUUUGAACUGUGAAGUAUUUCCUAACCAAUUCUAAUUAGGGUCCUUCAAGGCUUUGCUUGCUAACGAUGUUGCGGAUGCCUUUCAAUCGUUCGGACUUGGGGAUGGUUCACAUUGACUACCCUUUGAGUACCUUGUGGAGCGCCAUCUAGUCAGUGCAUUGUUAUAGUGAAACUAUAGAAUUCGUCGCUGCAUGAUGAAACACAAUAUCAUAUUAUGGAGUAUAAGAUACAGGUACCGCUUAUUGCACGUCAUUAUCGGUAGACUUCCCUACUCAUCGGCAAAGAAGAAAGCGGGUCUACGCCGAGAGAAGAAACCAAAAAGGAGGGAUACGGUCCGCUCUUUAUUUAUGUAAAAUUACAAAACUGAACGGAAACCUCGCUGUCCAGUUUCCGGAAGCGGCACCUGAUCACAGGCAUGACCUGUGAGCCAGAUAUCGUUUUACUCAACCAUAUUUGAGGGAAUUAAACGACCCGUCAUACAACGCCACCGUCCCAGUCACAUUUGAGUAAGCAUGACUUCUCCGGCUUCCCAGUUAAUAAAACUAAACCUAGUACGCAUGUCUCGCAUCUCCCUUCCUCCAGGCCCUACAAGCUGGAACGAGAAAACAGCACCACAAGACAGUAAGUAAAAAUGACUAAAAAAGAAUCACAAGACUGCAUGUGGUGCCGAAAUAUAAUUCCACUGCCAUUCGCUGGAACACUUAUUUUAAAACAAAUAUCGCAAAAUAAUUAGAAGUAGCUUGUCUAGCACUAGUCCCAGGCCCUUUUAUCUACAAGAAAAUCGUUAAUUCAUAGGAACAUUAACGUUAGUCAUAUCGUCAUAAACUGUCAAACUGGUUUAAUCACUUUUUUUGUUGACGGAUAAAGAUUUAGUUCGGAUUAUUAUACGCUAAUUAUAUUAUUAUAACAUAAUAUCAUAAGAUAAAUUG